rnacentral:rRNA from 1 species
CAUGCAGUCGACGAAUAAACUAAUCUUCGGAAAAGUUUAUUAGUGGCGAGCGGGUGAGUAAAAGGUAGGGACCAACCCCAUGGACAGAGAUAGCUACUGGAAACGGUAGGUAAACUCUGAUAAGCCCGAGAGGGGAAAGUGGAAAGGCAGCCAAGGGACGGACCUACUAUCCAUCAGGUAGUUGGUGAAGGUAAAGGCUCACCAAGCCGAUGACGGAUAACCGGUGUGAGAGCAUGGACGGUCACAAGGGCACUGAGACACGGGCCCUACUCCUACGGGAGGCAGCAGUGGGGAAUCUUGGACAAUGGGCGAAAGCCUGAUCCAGCGACGCCGCGUGAAGGAAGGAGUCCCUCGGGAUGUAAACUUCUGAACUAGUCGAAUAAAGAGGUAGCGGACACGCUACAAGAGAAGGUAGGCUAGGAAAAGUCCCGGCUAACUACGUGCCAGCAGCCGCGGUAAGACGUAGGGGGCGAGCGUUGCCCGGAAUUACUGGGUGUAAAGGGGACGUAGGCGGUAAACCAAGUCAUAUGUGAAAACCAUUUGCUCAACGAAAGGCUUGCGUAUGAAACUGGUGAACUUGAGGGUAGCAGAGGUAGACGGAAUUACCUGAGUAGGGGUGAAAUCCGCAGAUACAGGUAAGAAGGCCGGUGGAGAAGUCGGUCUACUGGGCUACAACUGACGCUGAGGUCCGAAAGCCAGGGGAGCGAACCGGAUUAGAUACCCGGGUAGUCCUGGCCGUAAACGAUGCUCACUAGGUGUAGGGAGCGAAAGACUCUCUGU